rnacentral:rRNA from 1 species
AAAAACAUCGCCUCUUGCAUAAAACGAAUAAGAGGUCCCGCCUGCCCAGUGACUACAAGUUCAACGGCCGCGGUAUUUUGACCGUGCGAAGGUAGCGUAAUCAUUUGUCUUUUAAAUUAAGACCAGUAUGAAAGGUGAGACGAGGGCUUAGCUGUCUCCUCUCUCCAGUCAAUGAAAUUGAUCCCCCCGUGCAGAAGCGGGGAUUUUAACAUAAGACGAGAAGACCCUGUGGAGCUUCAGACACUCGGGCAGACUAUGUCAAGUACCCCUAACAAAGGCGAAAACAGAGUAUGCUACUGUCCCAAUGUCUUCGGUUGGGGCGACCAUGGGGAAAUAAGAAACCCCCAAAGUGGAAUGGAAACAGACCCUUUUUUUACAACUGAGAGUACCCCCUCAAGCUAACAGAAUUUCUGACCACCAAGACCCGGCAAAGCCGAUCCACGGACCAAGUUACCCCAGGGAUAACAGCGCAAUCCCCUUUUAGAGACCCUAUCGCCAAGGGGGCUUACGACCUCGAUGUUGGAUCAGGACAUCCUAAUGGUGUAACCGCUAUUAAGGGUUCGUUUGUUCAACGAUUAAAGUCCUACGUGAUCUG